UUUUUUCUCUUAGCGGAAGUACCAUUUAUCUGUCUCCAUCCAUGGUCUGAGCAGGACAAAAUGGCUUUGAGAGCUGCAUUAAGAAACAAGUGCGGUUUAUCAGGUCUUCUCUCCCAGUGGUCGUCCUGCAGCAGUCAUGGCAGAGUGUGUGUGUCUCCUGUCCUUGUCUCUCAGCAGAGGAACAACUCCACCUCACCUAAGAUCAAAGUGGAUGUUGACCAAAGCUCAGGUGUGGCCGUGAUGCACAUGCAGAGUCCUCCUGUCAACAGCCUCAGUUUAGAUUUCCUCACAGAGUUCUGCAUCAGCGUGGAGAAGCUGGAGAUGGAUAAGAGCUGCCGGGGCCUCAUCAUCACCUCGAGCCAGCCCAAAGUGUUCUCUGCUGGGCUGGACAUCAUGGAGAUGUACGGGAAGAGUCCAGAGCGCUGUGGAGAGUUCUGGAGAGCUGUCCAAGAGAUGUGGCUGAAAAUGUACAGCUCCAACAUGGUCACCAUCGCUGCAAUCAAUGGUUCCAGUCCAGCAGGGGGCUGUCUGAUGUCUCUGACGUGUGACUACAGGAUAAUGGCAGACAACCCUCGUUACAGCAUUGGCCUUAACGAGACACAGCUGGGCAUUGUAGCACCUUUUUGGUUCAAGGACACCAUGACAAACACAGUGGGCCACCGAACCACAGAGAUAGCCCUGGAGUUGGGACUGCUCUACAGCCCGGCAGAGGCCCUCAAGAUAGGACUGGUGGACCAGCUGGUACCUGAAGACCAGGUCCUCACCACAGCCACACAGACCAUGACCAAGUGGUUGGCUAUCCCAGACCACGCCAGGCAGAUCACAAAGUCCAUGAUGAGGAAGCCAAUCAUCGACAAGCUAACGUCCAACAGAGAGGCCGACAUCCAGAACUUUGUCAGUUUCAUCACCAAAGACUCCAUUCAGAAGUCGCUCCGCAUGUAUUUGGAGAUGCUUAAAAAGAGAAAGGGCUAGAGGAGAGAGGCCAGCAUAUAAACACACACACACACACUUUGUAACACUAGUUGAAAACUCAUCUACCUGUCAUGUUUUCAUUGGCAUCAGUUUUGCUUAGAUCCUCAGAUACAGCUCUCAGCAGCUCAUCUUCAUUAACAGUGUUCAACCAGCUAAAGAGCCAUGUACCCUGACUCCUUGUGAUCCUCUGACAGCCCAGCUGACUCCAGGGAGACGUUCACAGGAUUGAUGCUGAUGAUUCAGUGACACAUAGUAUUUUUCUAUCUAACUUAAUAGACUAGUUAAAAAUCUAGUUAAAAAAAGUAACAUCAAGAAAUUGAUGCUAGGUGUCCCUCUCACUGCAGCUCCAUUCACGUAGCUUCAUCAUGGAGAAAUCCAAAGACUGACAGGCCUGCUGUGCAUAGCUAUAGUUGAUCAGCAACGCUUGGAUAGUCAUUGUUUCGGGGGAACAGUUUAUUAAACAGUUAAUUACUAUAACAGACAGGUCUUCACUAUUUAAAGUGCCUCACCUUACUGUACCUUCAAGAGCCAUAUAGCAACUAAUGAAAGUAAGCUUGGGUGCAUUUGAACAGCCCACAGAGGGUUAAAGUCUGUGUUGUCUCUUUAACAGGUUUGUCUACAUUCAGUUUUUCUGACUGCUUUUUGUGAAUAAAUGGGUGAAUUCAUGUACUCACUGGAUUCAGUGGUGUGAUUAAAUGGUCAUUCACACUUUCAUUUUU